rnacentral:rRNA from 1 species
AGCGUAGACGGCAGCGCAAGUCUGAAGUGAAAGCCCGGGGCUCAACCCCGGAAUGGCUUUGGAAACUGUGCAGCUAGAGUACCGGAGGGGUAAGCGGAAUUCCUAGUGUAGCGGUGAAAUGCGUAGAUAUUAGGAGGAACACCAGUGGCGAAGGCGGCUUACUGGACGGUAACUGACGUUGAGGCUCGAAAGCGUGGGGAGCAAACA